rnacentral:rRNA from 1 species
GCAGCCACCUUUUAAACCGCGUCAAAGCGUAACCUUAGCCCCCCAAAAUACCAUUAAUUUUCGUGAACCCUUAAGUUAUAAUGAAUGACUCCAUAUUUAUAUGGAAGACACCAUGCUAGGAUUAGUAACAAGAAUUUAUAAUUCUCCAAAAUGCAAAUAUAAACCAACAUGGAUGGACCAUUGGUAGUUACCGAACCUAAAUUCAAUGCAAUAACACCUACAAGAAAACUCUGCAGUACUUACUCGUUAACCUAACACCAGCGCAUUACAGGAAAGAUUUAAAAAAAGAGAAGGAAUUCGGCAAAUGACGGCCCCGCCUGUUUACCAAAAACAUCGCCUCUUGACUUAUAAUAAGAGGUCCAGCCUGCCCAGUGAAUUUUAAACGGCCGCGACAUCCUAACCGCGCGAAGGUAGCAUAAUCACUUGUUCUUUAAAUGGGGACUCGUAUCAACGGCAUCACGAGGGUUUUACUGUCUCCUCUUUUUGAUCAGUGAAAUUGAUCUUCCCGUGAAGAAGCGGGAAUAAAUUUAUAAGACGAGAAGACCCCAUGGAGCUUUAAACCAAAUAACAACUUAACCACUUACUCCAUAAUAAAUUUAAGCCCUGUUAUAAGGUUUUUGGUUGGGGUGACCGCGGAGUAAAGCACAUCCUCCACGACGAAAAGAACAAAAUCUUUAUUUAAGAACCACACUUCUAAAAAUUAGUAUACUAACGUUUACUGACCCGACAAUCGAUCAACGGACCAAGUUACCCUGGGGAUAACAGCGCAAUCUACUUCAAGAGCCCAUAUCGACAAGUAGGCUUACGACCUCGAUGUUGGAUCAGGGUAUCCCGGUGGUGCAGCCGCUACCGAAGGUUCGUUUGUUCAACGAUUAAAACCCUACGUGAUC